CGAGCGCACCCUCGCCUCUAGUUGCCGCGCAAGCGGAUCUCUAGAGGGACUGCCGGUGUUAAACCGGAGGAAGGUGGGGAUGACGUCAAGUCCUCAUGGCCUUCAUGACCAGGGCUACACACGUGCUACAAUGGCCGGUACAAAGCGUUGCCAACUCGCGAGAGGGAGCUAAUCGCAUAAAACCGGUCUCAGUUCAGAUUGGAGUCUGCAACUCGACUCCAUGAAGGCGGAAUCGCUAGUAAUCGCGGAUCAGCACGCCGCGGUGAAUACGUUCCCGGGCCUU
rnacentral:rRNA from 1 species